UGUGAGUCACCAUGUGGUUGCUGGGAUUUGAACUCAGGACCUCAGAAGAGUAGUCAGUGCUCUUAACCACUGAGCCAUCUCUCCAGCCCAAUCAGAUUCAUUUUUAAUACACCUCUUUAGAGGUUUUGAUCCCUGGCCCUUAGCUUGCUGACUUUGGGCUGGUGUAAAGCAGAAUAGCAUAGCAGGAGGAGCACGUGGCAGAGGAGGAGCACGUGGCAGAGGAGGAGCAUGUGGCAGAGGAGGAGCACGUGGCAGAGGAGGAGCACUGGCAGAGGCUUCUCACCUCCUGGAAGUAGGGAAAAGGGACGUAGGAAUCAGGUACAAACUUGAAAGGGAUGUCUUGAAAGGGAUGUCUUUAAUGACCUACUCCACUCAGCUAGGCUCUGC
rnacentral:lncRNA from 1 species